rnacentral:rRNA from 2 species
UUCUUUGGAGAGUUUGAUCCUGGCUCAGGACGAACGCUGGCGGCGUGCCUAAUACAUGCAAGUCGAGCGCAGGAAAUCAUCCGAACCCUUCGGGGGGACGUUGAUGG